rnacentral:lncRNA from 1 species
CGAAAAAGAAUCAGGACUCGUAAAAGUGUUGGAAUUGAACCUUUUGAUUAAACCUGCAGAAGAAGAAGAAGAUGAUACAGUAAAUGAGGAUUUAAGUGGGAAGACACGUGGAUCGUGGAGAUCUAAAGAAGAAGCAACGGUCAAGAUUAAAUAAGCAGAAGUGUUUUGGGGUUAAAGAGAAGUUGAAGGUCUCUUACGGAUUCAUUGAUAAAAAUUGUAAAAGUUUGUUAUCUUCUCCUUGAAUCUCUUCUUUUGUUAGGUUCUCAUCUAGAGACCUAGAGAUGAUGAUCGAAGCUGCGUUUCAUGAACGUUGUUUUGGUUAACUUUAGAAUUGAAGUGUUGAUUGAUCGAUCGGUGAAGAAAGCUUUAUCAGAAGAAGCUUCGGGGAGAAGAAGAAGUGCUCAUAGAGCAAAGGCAAAGGAAAAAGAAGAAGAAGUCGUGACAAGGUCAACGACACAUAGAGAAGAAGGAGCAAAGUCAACAAGAAGAAAGGUGUUGGGCUUUGUGUGGUUUGGUCCUAAGAAGACUAAUGGGCUACGUUUUUGGUUAAGGCCCAAAGUAAAGGAAGUGUGUUUUGUUUGUUAAGUGCUAGCUAAAGACUAGAGUUGUUGGUUAACCUUGCUUGUGAGCUUGGUUAUACCCUAGAGUAAUGAUGUCUAAAAGUAAGGUUUAAGUAGAAGUAUGGUGCAAGUGUGUGUACUAAGUAGAGGUAAACUAAUAUAAGUAUGUGUGUGUAUGUCUUGUAAAAAGUUAUCCUUUGAUCCAAUAU